rnacentral:rRNA from 1 species
GACGAACGCUGGCGGCGUGCCUAAUACAUGCAAGUCGAGCGGACUGAUGGGAACUUGUUCCCUGAAGUCAGCGGCGGACGGGUGAGUAACACGUGGGCAACCUGCCUGUAAGACUGGGAUAACUUCGGGAAACCGGAGCUAAUACCAGAUACAUUCUUUUCUCGCAUGGGGGAAGAUGGAAAGACGGUUUCGGCUGUCACUUACAGAUGGGCCCGCGGCGCAUUAGCUAGUUGGUGGGGUAAUGGCCCACCAAGGCGACGAUGCGUAGCCGACCUGAGAGGGUGAUCGGCCACACUGGGACUGAGACACGGCCCAGACUCCUACGGGAGGCAGCAGUAGGGAAUCUUCCGCAAUGGACGAAAGUCUGACGGAGCAACGCCGCGUGAACGAUGAAGGCUUUCGGGUCGUAAAGUUCUGUUGUUAGGGAAGAACAAGUACCAGAGUAACUGCUGGUACCUUGACGGUACCUAACCAGAAAGCCACGGCUAACUGCGUGCCAGCCGCCGCCGUAACAC